UGUGGGGCAACAAACCCACCCCUGGGGCGUCCAGACGUGUGGCCAUCGGUGGUGGCACGACCCCAUCAGCACAAACCCAUCACCUAAGGAGCAGCUUGAAGCUGCAGCAGAAUUAAACACCAGGAGAUGGAGAGCGGAGGCAUCUCAGCGCUGGCAUCACUCAAACCCACGCUGCUAACGAAGCAGCUCUAAUAGUGAAAUAUGGGCCCCGUUUAAGGGGAAGCCAACCCGUCUCCCUGCAAGAAAACAGAAAAUAAAUACACGGGAAAUAAUAAUAACAACAACUUGCAGCUUGAUCUAAAAGAUACGCCGGGUAAAUACAUUAAUAGGAGGUAAUUGAAAAAAAGCUGCUGGGUAAUCUUUAAGCAAUGAUGGAGUUAAGGCAUGGGGCUGGCGGUGGAUCAGCACAUCCCAGCCCUGGUGUUUUAUGGGGUUGGGUCGGAGCAGAGGUGUCAUAUUUAGAUAUCUCAUUAUGUUCCGAGAUGCUCCAGCAGCUCCCCCCCCCCCCCAACGAGCGACACGUGGGGCUGAACAAAAAGGGGAAUUGGAGCCAUAAAAGAGAGAGAGGACAAGGUAUCGCUGGAUGGAAGAGAUAAAGAUGUUCCCUCUCCUCAUGCUGAUAUUAAUAGGGCAGGAGGCUCCUCUGCUCCUGGGCACGGAUGAGGAGGCUGCAAUGGGGUUUGGUUUAAUGCUGCUUUGCGAUUUGCUUUGCAGCCAACCAUGCAGCUCCAAGCUCUCCUUGCUCAGCAUCACAAAUCCCAUCCUUGGGGGGUGAGAAUGGGGGUCCUGAGCUCCCAUUGUGGGGGGGUGUGGGGACCCCAGUGUGCUGUGCUCCCAUUGCAUUGGGACCCCAUUGCAUGGGGAUGUGGGGACCCCAUGGCGCUGUGCUCCUUAGUAUGGGGGUGUGGGGUCUCUGUAGUGCUGGGCUCCUUUGUAUGGGGAUGUGGGGACCCCACAGCACUGUGGUCCUUUUGCAUUGGGAUCCCAUGGUGCUGUGCCCCCAUUGCAUGGGGAUGUGGGGACCCCAUGGUGCUGUGCUCCUUAGUAUGGGGGUGUAGGGUCUCUAUAGUGCUGGGGUCCUAUGUAUGGGGACACCUGUGCUUCCAUUGCAUUGGGACCCCACUGCAUGGGGAUGUGGGGACCCCAUGGUGCUGUGCUCCUUUUGCAUUGGGACCCCAUGGAGCUGUGCCCCCAUUGCAUGCAGAUAUGGGGACCCCAUGGUACUGUGCUACUUUGAGCAGGGCUGUGGGGUCCCUAUAGUGCUGGGCUCCUUUGUAUGGGGAUGUGGAGACCCCAUGGUGCUGUGCUCCUUUUGCAUUGGGACUCCAUGGUGCUGUGCCCCCUUUGCAUGGGGAUGUGGGGUCCCCACUGUGCUGUGCCCCCAUUGCAUGCAGAUAUGGGGACCCCAUGGUACUGCGCUACUUUGAGCAGGGCUGUGGGGUCCCUAUAGUGCUGUGCUCCUUAGUAUGGGGAUGUGGGGACCCCACAUUGCUGUGAUCCUUUGUAUGGGGAUGAGGGGACCCUAUGGUGCUGUGCUCCCAUUGCAUUGGGACCCCAUUGCAUGGGGAUGUGGGGACCCCAUGGUGCUAUGCUCCUUAGUAUGGGGGUGUAUGGUCUCUAUAGUGUUGGGGUCCUAUGUAUGGGGAUGAAGGGACCCCAUGGUGCUGUGCUCCUUAGUAUGGGGGUGUGGGGUCUCUGUAGUGCUGGGGUCCUAUGUAUGGGGAUGUGGGGACCCCAUGGGUGCUGUGCUCCCUUUGCAUUGGGAUCCCACAGUGCUGUGCCCCCAUUGCAUUGGGACCCCAAAGAACCCCAGGGCUUCUUUAUAAGGCUCCUGCAGACGGAUGGGCAGCCUGGGGCUGUAAAUACACCCAUCCACAGCCCUAAGCCUUCAAAAAGGGGUUUCUUCCCAUUGGGUUUUGGGUGGAUUUCCCCCCAAUUUAGACCAGCUUGAGCCCCCAAAUGAGCAGCAAUGAAAUACCAUGCCCUGGUUUGCAUGGAUGGCUGAUUAGAGCUGAGCUGGGAGCCCAAAGAGCCUCUUUUCCUUCUUUGAAGACACCCCGAAGAGAUUCUCAUCUCUAGGAACCCAUUAUUCCCUUUGAUGAGCCUGAGCUUUAAUUAACCUUAGGGUCCAGCACCCCGCUACUGUUAUCCUAUGGCUGGUGGACCUUCCUAUGCAAGAAUACAAGGCUUCAGGGAUAUGAGGGGGGGGGGGGUCCCUAAGAACCACCUAAUGGGGGGGGCACAGAGAUCCAAAUGGGGACACAGGGACCCCAAUGGGGACACAGAGACCCAAAUAGGGACACAGAGACCCAAUGGGGGCACAGAGACCCCUAUGGGGCACAGAGACCCCCCUAUGGGGCAUAGGGACCCCUAUGGGACACAGAGACCCCUAUGGGGCACAGAGACCCCAAUGGGGACCCACAGAACCCAAUGGGGACCCACAGGACCCAAUGGGGACCCACAGAACCCAAUGGGGACACUGAGUCCCAAAUGGGGGCACAGAGACCUGAAUGGGGGCACAGGGACCCCAAUGGACACAGAGACCCCAAUGGGCACAGAGACCUGAAUGGGAGCACAGAGACCCGAACAGGGACACAGAGACCUGAAUAGGGACAAUGAGACCCCAAUGGGGACAAUGAGACCCUAAUGGGGACAAUGAGACCCCAAUGGGGACAAUGAGACCCCAAUGGGGGCACAGAGACCCCAAUGGGGCACAGAGACCCCUAUGGGGCACAGGGACCCCUAUGGGGCACAGAGACCCCAAUAGGGACACAGACACACAAAUGGGGGCACAGAGACCCGAAUGGGAACACAGAGACCCAAUGGGGACACAGAGACCCAAAUAGGGACACAGAGACCCCAAUGGGGACACAGAGACCUCAGUGGGGGCACAGAGACCCAAUGGGGACACAGAGAACACAAUGGGGACACAGAGACCCCAAUAGGGGCACAGAGACCCCAAUGAGGGCACAGAGACCUGAAUGGGGGCACAGAGACCCCAAUGGGGGCACAGAGACCCCUAUGGGGCAUAGGGACCCCUAUGGGGCACAUAGACCCCUAUGGGGCACAGGGACCCCUAUGGGGCACAGAGACCCUAUGGGGCACAGGGACCCCUUUAAACCCCCUCCCUUCCUAUUCCCCCCCCUAUUGGGAUCAUUAGACCCUGAGAUUUCCCUCUGUCGGGCAGCCCCAGACGAUUCCCUGCCCCACCGGCCGCCCUUUGAGACUCCAAACAAAUAAAUAAAGCCAAGAGAGAAAGGCUGAAGUGACA
rnacentral:lncRNA from 1 species